rnacentral:tRNA from 1 species
GCCGAAGUGGCGGAAUGGUAGACGCGGCGGUCUCAAAAACCGUUGUCCUAACGGACAUGUGAGUUCGACUCUCACCUUCGGCACCA